AAGAGACAAAUCUAUGGAUCAACUGUAUGAAAUAUCAUAGAGUUGACUUUAACUUUCCCUGGAUUGAGUUUGACAAUGCAUUAUCAUCUAGGAAUUGACUCUCUAAGAGACAAAUCUAUGGAUCAACUGUUGACAAUGCAUGAAAUUUGCAUUUCUGUGAAUUAAAUGGACCUGCCAGAGGCCGAUUUUCGUUUCCUUGACCUGCAGCAGGUGGGUCAUUCUCAGCUCUGACAGCAGGCCUUGGUGGAUGAGGAGGUGCAGCUGCUCUCUGCAUGCCUUGAGAAAGCCAUCGAAUCAAUGGUGCCAGAGCUCCAGUUUGAUACCUACAUCAGCCAGUGUCCACAAAGUCAGCUUCACAUUCAAUAGAGAUGGUGCUAACACAAAGUCCAAGAAAAAAUGAGAACUCCAGGAGUCUCUUAUACCCUGAUUCCAAAUGACAACAAUUCCUCAGCAUGCA